UACGGAGGGUGCAAACGUUGCUCGGAAUCAUUGGGCGUAAAGCGCACGUAGGUGGCUUGUUAAGUCGGGUGUGAAAUCCCUGGGCUCAACCCAGGAAGUGCACUCGAAACUGGCGAGCUUGAGUACUGAAGAGGGUCGCGGAAUUCCCGGUGUAGAGGUGAAAUUCGUAGAUAUCGGGAGGAACACCAGUGGCGAAGGCGGCGACCUGGGCAGAUACUGACGCUGAGGCGCGAAAGCCAGGGGAGCAAACGGG
rnacentral:rRNA from 1 species